rnacentral:lncRNA from 1 species
AUGGCGCUCACAAUAGCCCAAAGCCUGGCGCUGGGAGGAGUUAGGGGCGUGGGGCAGGAAGCAGCUACUGGGCUUUCGGGGAGAAGGUCGGAGGCGUGGUUACCCAAGAGACCCCACUGGCUUUGGUCAUCAAACUCAAGCAGAGCCCAAUGCUGGGCUGGGGCAAACAAAAUGAGGGCUGAAGACCCAGCGAUUCCAACUUCCCAGUUCAGCUCUUCCUUGGAAACUGGAUCAAAAGGGAGCACAGACUUAACCCAAAUAGUGACAAAAGAUCACACAAGUCAAAAAAAAGAAAGAAAGAAAGAAAGAAACCAAUCCAGCAGUACAUGUCUCAAGUCCCCUCUGAUAGAUUAG